UAGUGUUCACUUGAUUACUUGUGAGAAAGGAGCUUGAACAAGUCUACAGUAUAUGUUAUUGUUGUAAUUAAGCAUGCCAUGUGAAAUUAUAGCUAUUCUUUUUUGGUAUUAUUGUUGAUCCUUGUUUAUGCUGGAGAUGCUCCAUAUCCAUUUUUCACAUAUGUUAAUCACUAAUUGGCUACUAAAUGGCAGAUCUUUCAGGAAAAAUUUGGCGCCUCAAAUCUUGAAGAUUAGUUCUGAUUAGGUGCAGUAUCCAGUUUUUUGUCUACUACAUACGUGCUAAUUUUAGAAAUUGCAAAUUAGACCAUAUCAUUGGUGGAUUGGAAAAUAGAUUUCCUUUUAGAUUGGUGAGCUAUUGUGAACUUUAGAAGUCAGAUGUUGUGGAUGUUUAUAACAGGAAGAUGCUUGGACUUACUUAGUGUCACGACUUAUUCAGUAUUGGGUUCUACCAUUGAUUAUAAUAAGAGGUACUUUCUUCACGCAGN
rnacentral:lncRNA from 1 species